UCCGUAGGCGGGCAAUUAAGUCAGAGGUGAAAUCCCACAGCUCAACUGUGGAACUGCCUUUGAUACUGGUUGUCUUGAGUUACAGUGAAGUAGAUAGAAUAUGUAGUGUAGCGGUGAUAUGCAUAGAUAUUACAUAGAAUACCGAUUGCGAAGGCAGUCUACUAACUGUAUACUGACGCUAAUGGACGAAAGCGUGGGGAGCGAACAGGAUUAGAUACCCUGGUAGUCC
rnacentral:rRNA from 1 species